CACUCCAAUUCCCCGUGAUCACAUCUGAAACUAAGUUAAUGAUGAGUAAUUUACAGCAUGGAUGCUGUACAAAGCGUAGUUUGGCCAUGGAUGGCCUAUCUACGCUGGUUACGUUCACAUCAUUAACGUAAGUUGAAGAUCAAGUGUGAUCCUCGGGUGCGCCGAGA
rfam:Pseudoalteromonas lipolytica SCSIO 04301 genomic scaffold Scaffold3, whole genome shotgun sequence.